AGCGUAGGCGGCUUAAUAAGUCAGUGGUGAAAGGUAGCAGCUUAACUGUUUUACAUGCCAUUGAUACUGUUGAGCUUGAGUUGUUAGAAGGCAGAUAGAAUUUCUGAUGUAGCGGUGAAAUGCUUAGAUAUCAGGAGGAAUACCGAUUGCGAAGGCAGUCUGCUGCAUACAUACUGACGCUGAGGCUCGAAAGUGCGGGGAUCAAACAGGAUUAGAUACCCCCGUA
rnacentral:rRNA from 1 species